GCCUUGAUAGCUCAGUUGGUGUACAGCAUGAGACUUUUGAUCUCAGGGUUGUGGGUUGGAGCCUCACGUUGGGCA